UACGUAGGGAGCAAGCGUUAUCCGGAUUUAUUGGGUGUAAAGGGUGCGUAGACGGAGAAGCAAGUUAGUUAUGAAAUCCCUCGGCUUAACUGAGGAACUGCAACUAAAACUACUUCCCUUGAGUACUGGAGAGGAAAGUGGAAUUCCUAGUGUAGCGGUGAAAUGCGUAGAUAUUAGGAGGAACACCAGUGGCGAAGGCGACUUUCUGGACAGUAACUGACGUUGAGGCACGAAAGUGUGGGGAGCAAACAGG
rnacentral:rRNA from 1 species